rnacentral:lncRNA from 1 species
ACUCCACUCUUGUUUGCUGCGUGCGUUCGUCGCUUGGCCCGCUUGCUGUUCUCGCAAAAGCGCGGGGCAGAGGAGAGAAAGAAGCCUCUCGUUCUCCGAGAGAGACGCAGAGGCCGCAGUCAGGGCCUGGAUAUACUCGGAGGCUCGGCUUCUCCUCUGGGUGCUCCUUGUUGCUUCCAGGGAAAGUUUAGUCUGGAUCUGAGGCCUCGUGGCGCUCUUCCUGGUUUUUCAAUUUUGGUGGAGAAAUAGAGUUUGUGGUGAAGUAAAUGGCACCGCUGGAAUCCAAACCCUAAUGAAGCAGAGUCUCUUCUUAACCACUGUCUAUACUAAAGGUAAUUUAAAACAGGGUGCAGACAACAGGAAAGCAACAACUCUGGUUUGGUCACCGUGGUGGUCUUGCCCGGCACAUGGUGGGAGUCCAGCCAGAGCUGAUGGCCUCCUCUUCCCUCCUGACUAUUCAUCUGCUUCCACUCCAGGAGCACCACAGGCAUCUCCCCUGAUGCAGGGUAAAUUGCAGAAGCCGUGGUACCAGCCCGCAUCCAUGACCCCACAGAUAUUCCCCUUCUCCAAGUGGACUGACCCAGGCCUUUUACAAACACAGAAGGAUCUUGUGCAAGAUGAAUUUUAGUACUAGCUACUAAAAGAUCUCUUCACACAAAAGGCAAUAUUCCUGAAUUUGUAUUGGUCCAGGCAUUCGAGAAUCAAGGUGCAUCCGUAGGAAGAAAGAGAGAGAGACCAGUUCUGAAGAGUAUCUGCUGGUGAAUGUUACUUAAAUCUGAACUUUGAGUCAUGAAAAAUAGAAAGAUGUACGUCGUUAUGGUACUGUUUCCAGUUUUUAGCACACCAUAGAAAGAGCUGUAACUGCAGAAUGAAUAAACAAAUGAGUGGAUGGAAUGACAGACAGUGCUUUCAGGAUACACUCAGCAUUCCCCUGCAUGGGAGACAGCCUGGGACCUGGGACCCUUUAUGAAAGCCCUUGCUUGUACCUAGGCCAAGGAGCAACAGAAUACAAAGAAACUAUGAGGGACUAAAAAUAAUUGCACAGUUGCACAGUUGGGGCAGUUCUGAACAACAAGAUACAGAAAAGGCCAAAACCCAAUUGCCACUUUGGAGAUACUGGGCACAAAAGGAGGGGACUGUGCAUGACCUCUGGACCCAGCACCACCAAAGGGGUGGACAGACCACCUGAUCCAUGCCUUUCAUCCAACCCACUGAUCUCCCCCACCCAUACCCUGUUUAAGGGACCAGCUCACCCCCCUGCUGCAGCAUGAGUCCCAGUAAAGCCUUGCCAGAAUUCUUCGUCUGCUAGCAAUUUCUGUUGAUGAAAGGGUACAAGGACCCCAGUGAGAAUCAAAUGGGGCCUGCUGCAUUGUUGUCGAGACUCAGGAAACCAUAGCUUCGAAAGCUAAUGUGGGAGUUCCCAUUAUGGCACAGCAGUAAUGAACCCAAUGAGCAUCCAUGAGGACGCAGCCUCAAUCCUUGGUCCCGCUCAGUGGGUUAAGCAUCUGGGCAUUGCUGUGAGCUGUAGUGCAAGGCGCAGACACAGCUUGGAUCCUAUGUUGCUGUGGCUAUGGUGUAGACCGGCAGCCACAGCUCCGAUUUGACCCCUAGCCUGGAACUUCCAAAUGCUGUAGGUGUGGCCCUAAAAAGACAAAGGAAAAAAAGAAAGCUAAUGGGGAAAUCAUCAAGUCAUAAAAAUGCUGCUGGGGACCCACGUUUUCACUGGUCCCUGGCAUUUCCACAGUCAUCGCUUCCUUUCUUUACACAUCCAAAGGCUUAGAAAUCUCCAACCAGAUGCAUUGUAGUGUUCUCCUCAUGUCUCAUGAAACCCAGGGGGAAAAGAUGUAAAAAGAGGGGCAGGUGGUUCAGCAUUUUUUUUGGUUAGACCCCGUUUUUUGGUUCUCUCUUUCUCUCAGGCCUGCGCAUGUGGGCCAGUGUGAAUUUGCAUGGUUACCUGCAGACACAGUGCUCUAAACUUGGCCAAGCAUUGAUGUCACUCACCAAACUCAUAAAGUAACCAGGUCAAAUUUCUGCUCCAGAUGGUGGAUUUAGCCUUAGUAAUUUAUAGUCACACCAUGAAUGGCAAGUUGGGAUGUCAAGCCCUGUAGUCAUACUUAUAUUAGUGGUGUUCCCUGCUGAGGAUCUAGUUUAUGCUGUCGCAUUUCAAACUUGUUGAUUUUUUUUUUUUUUUUUAGGGCUGCAACUGCGGCACAUGGAGGUUCCCAGGCCAGGGGUCGAAUCGGAGCUGUAGCCACUGGCCUACCCCACAGCCACAGCAAUGCAGGAUCUGAGCCAUGCCUGCAACCUACACUACAGCUCACAGCAAUGCCAGAUCCCCAACCCACUGAGCCAGGCCAGGAAUCGAACCGGAGUCCCCAUGGAUGCUAGUCAGAUUCGUUAAUUGCUGAGCCAUAACAGGAACUCCAAUAUAGUGAUUCAUAAUAUAGGUUUUUAUAUGCAUGCUUUGAAAUGUGCAGUGGACCAUGAACACAGAAAUUGUGAGCUUUAUAUAUUCAUUCAUUCAUUCAUUCUUCUGAGUGCCUAGCACAGUGCCCAGCAGGCAGAAGUCAAUCAAUAUGUGUGUGUGUGUGCACGUGAGAGAAAGAGAGAGUGACUGAGAGAAAAUAAUACAUAAUAUCCUUUUUGAAAAAUGUGCCAAAGGUGUGUGAAGUUGUUUUAUUUUGUUUUGUUGAAGCAUAGCUGAUUUUACAGUUGUGUUAGUUUCUGGUGUAUAGCAAAGUGAGUCAGUUUAAUAUAUAUAUGCAUAUAUGUAUAUUCUUUUUCAGAUUCAUUUACAUUAUAGUUUAUUACAGGUUAUUGAUUGUUGUUCCCUGUGUUAUUACAGUGGGUCCUUGUUUUUCAUCUGUUUUAUAUGUAAUAGUUUGUAUCUGCUAAUCCCAAACUCCUAGUUUAUGCCUCCCCCCUUCCAUUUUGAUAACCAUAAGUGUAUUUUCUAUGUCUGUGAGUCUGUUUCAGUUUUGUAAAUAAGUUCAUUUGUUCAGAUUCACAUAUAAUAAUGUGAUAUUAUAUGAUAUUCAUCUUUCUCUGACUUCACGUAAUAUGAUAAGUAUUAAGUACGUACAUCCAUGUUGCUGCAAAUGGCAUUAGUUCAUUCUUUUUUAUGGCUGAGUAAUAUUCAUGUAUAUCUCACAUCUUCUUUAUCCAUUCAUCUGUCAAUGGACAUUUAGGCUGCUUUCAUGUCCUGGUUAUCGUAAACAGUGCUGCUGUGAACACCAGGGUGCAUCUUUUUGAAUUAGAAUUUUGUCUAGCUCUAUGCCCAGGAGUGGGAUUGCUAAAUCAGAUGACCACUCUAUUUUUAGUUUUUUAAGGAACCUCCAUACUGCUCUCCAUUGCGGCUGCACUAAUUUACAUUCCUGCCAACAGUAUAGGAGGGAGGGUUCCCUUUUGUGAGAAGUUUUUAAUGCCCCAAAACAUUAAUCCCAAGGCUUAAUGCCAGGCACAAUUUUAAAUGCUUUACCUUAUUGGCACGUUUAAUCCUCAUAAUAGUCCCUAGAGGAGCUUUUCAUUGUCCAUGAACGAACUGGAUGCACGUGAAGGUGGAGGGAAUUGUCCAUGUCAGUGAACGGCAGAGCUAAGGUUUGAACCCAGGCAUCCUGUGGUCAGAGAUUGUGCCUGUCACCAUGAUCCUGCCUUGCCUCUCAAGUUGUGAUGCUGCCAAAGUUCUUAGGUCCCCGGGAGGAACAUGAUAUAAAGUGCAUU